AGCAAUUUAACCAGUACAGUGCUUGCUUCUGAUGGAUUAAGAAAAUAAAAAAGAUGUGUAGAAAAAAAAAACACACGGAAGAUGUACAGAUUCACCUAUCAAGCCAUUUUUAAGAUGAAAUGAAGGAUUAAGAGACUGUUCACUUUUCUUCUGGAUGAACAUGAAGACUUAUCUCAUGAGGAUUUAGACUUCAGCAGCAGCAGCGCCAGUCGGAUUGUGUUUUAGGCACACUUGGAAAUCUAAACCUCAUGGAGAUACUUUGAGGAUUAUAAAAGAUGUGCAUGUAGAAUGCCACAAUACAAGACGCGUCCUGGGCCAAAGUCCUUGGGAUAGCAGGAUAUUGCUUUCCUGAUCCUUCUCAGCCCCCAGAAUGGGGAGUGUGGGAGUGGUGAGGUCUGGGAGAUCACGACCUUAAUUCUCUCCAAGACAGACGGUUUAAUUAACACUGGAAGAAUCCUCACUGACUCCAGACCUCUACAGUGAGAAUGUACAGGGGAAUUGGCUUGCCAAGGUCCUCUUGGCCAUAGACUGAAAUGCUGACAGACGAUGCCCAUGAAUGAUGAAUGAUGACUGGAGGUCUGUCUGGUGCCAGCAGAAUGCAUAAUACAGCAUCGAUACAGCAAUCGCAGUCCUCCUCAGCAGAAACAUGGUGCAGUUUCUGUAUCACAUUAUUGGAAGAUUUGCCCCAAGCAGGACAGCAGGACCACUCAAAGUGGAAAUCAACCGCAAUGUUGAAUGUUGUUUCGGUUGGAGUCCUAAACGAAGCAGCAUUACAAAGAGUUUUCUGGUGUGUCAGAGUGAGGCUCAGUGGGAAAGAUUGCUGUGUCUAGACAGGAGUGUGAGGUGCAGAUCUACACAGAAGCUUACAGGAAACUGAAGAAGACGGGUGAGGUUAAAAAGGACAGCACGAUGGAAAAAACAAGAAUGAAAGC